GACAGAGGGGGCAAGCGUUGCUCGGAAUUACUGGGCGUAAAGGGCGCGUAGGCGGAAUGACAAGUCAGUCGUGAAAUCCUUCGGCUCAACCGAAGAACGUCGAUCGAAACUGCCGUUCUUGAGGAUUGCAGAGGAGACUGGAAUUCCCGGUGUAGCGGUGAAAUGUGUAGAGAUCGGGAGGAACACCGGUGGCGAAGGCGGCUCUCUGGACCAGUACUGACGCUGAGACACGAAAGCCAGGGGAGCGAACGGG
rnacentral:rRNA from 1 species